rnacentral:misc_RNA from 1 species
GAUGUAGAACGUAGCGAAAUGCGAUAAGUAAUGUGAAUUGCAGAAUUCAGUGAAUCAUCGAAUCUUUGAACGCACAUUGCGCCCGCCAGUAUUCUGGCGGGCAUGCCUGUUCGAGCGUCAUUUCAACCAUCAAGCCCCCGGCUUGUGUUGGGGACCUGCGGCUGCCGCAGGCCCUGAAAAGCAGUGGCGGGCUCGCUGUCACACCGAGCGUAGUAGCAUACAUCUCGCUCUGGGCGUGCUGCGGGUUCCGGCCGUUAAACCACCUUCAUAACCCAAGGUUGACCUCGGAUCAGGUAGGAAGACCCGCUGAACUUAAGCAUAUCAAUAAGCGGAGGA